GGCUUUCUACAUUAAAAGGUUUAGGGGUAGUGGCAGUUGUUUCAGAAGUGGUACAAGUAUUUAGGGUUGGUGGUGAAAUGGUUGUGAUUGUGGUUGAUUCAGCAAAUGUUAGAUUAGGUAUGAGAAGUGUGACAUAAAUGGAUGGUCUAGAUAUUGUGAUUAUUUCAGAAACACUAGAGGAUCUGGAAGGAGGGUGGUUAUAGUUUAAAAAGGGAUGUAUGGUGGUGGAGAAGUUUG
rnacentral:lncRNA from 1 species